rnacentral:rRNA from 1 species
AUUGAACGCUGGCGGCAGGCUUAACACAUGCAAGUCGAGCGAGCGGCGGACGGGUGAGUAAUGUCUGGGAAACUGCCUGAUGGAAGGGGAUAACUACUGGAAACGGUAGCUAAUACCGCAUACCAUCAGAUGUGCCCAGAGGGGAUGAGCUAGUAGGUGGGGUAAUGGAGCACCUAGGCGACGAUCCCUAGCUGGUCUGAGAGGAUGACCAGCCACACUGGAACUGAGACACGGUCCAGACUCCUACGGGCGGCAGCAGUGGGGAAUAUUGCGCAAUGGGCUCAAGCCUGAUGCAGCCAUGCGGCGUGUGUGAAGAAGGCCUUCGGGUUGUAAAGCACUUUCAGCUAGGAGGCGUUACUCGCAGAAGAAGCACCGGCUAACUCCGUGCCAGCCGCCGCGGUAAUUC